UACGAAGGGGGCUAGCGUUGCUCGGAAUCACUGGGCGUAAAGCGCACGUAGGCGGAUUGCUAAGUCAGGGGUGAAAUCCUGGAGCUCAACUCCAGAACUGCCUUGAUACUGGCGAUCUCGAGUCCGGGAGAGGUGAGUGGAACUGCGAGUGUAGAGGUGAAAUUCGUAGAUAUUCGCAAGAACACCAGUGGCGAAGGCGGCUCACUGGCCCGGUACUGACGCUGAGG
rnacentral:rRNA from 1 species